CGCUUGCGCAUAAGGGCUCGGCGCCUCCAUUAAAAGGGCCCAUGGGCGAGGCUCUCAUCCUGCGCUCCUCGUCGCGCCUAGAAGGCACCGGAACGGGACGAAACGGAUUCACAGACGAUAUAGAAAGGAGACAGGGGGUCUCCGAGAACCUUGUGUGGGAGUGAAGACCUCAGCGCUAACCUGCGCCCCCCCCCCCGUAGACGCUGUGGUCUCGCCCAGCGCGCCCCGCGGGGCAUCUUGGGAGCGGCGGGCUUCCGCGCGGCAUGCUGGGAGCGGUAGUUCGCGCCGCCUGAGGGCCGGGGCGAGGGGCCGGGCCGCCGCGCUGAGGGCGGAGUUCCCCCGCGGGCCUGGGCCCCGGCUCUGGUCUGCCUCAGAGCGGAGACCCUCGGGUUGCGGCUGCGGGACCUCCCCAGGGCCUUGGUCCACCUCGGAGCAGAGACCCUUGGGCUACGGGACCUCCCCAGGGCCCUGCUUUAUCGUGGUCCCUCCUGGUUUAGCAGUCCCUGAGCCCAAAGCAGCCAGCUAUGUCCCACUGCUUGUAAUCCAGGCCGUCAAAUCGUAAUUAUAGAGAAAAACACACAGAAAACUCUGUUUGCCUUUUCACAAAGUUAUCAGCUCUCUUUCUGCUCUCAUGGAGCCACCAACAGUUAGCCAGGAGGAAAAACAAGCAGUAAAACCCCUGACCAGCAACCCUAGGGGCGCUUUGCUCUGCGGGAGCACAAGCACAACCUCCAGAUCCAGACUAAGAUGGCUCAGGCCUCUCUGAGCAUCCUGGCCGCAGUAGAUGGUGCGGUGGCUGCUGCGUAGCCAGCAGCGCGAGAGGGAGAAGCAGGAAGCAGGUCUGCAGGGCACAGCCUCUUCCCCCAGUGACCCAGCCCAGUCUCUGCCCUCCAGGCACCUCUCCUGUGUACAUCCUGCGGGGAGGUGUGAGCAUGACGGUCCCUGUUACUGUGACUAUAGCAGGGCUACCCUUGGAACGGGAAGUAAAAUUAUUAUCAGUUAUUUUCUGUGCGAGUUUUUCUUCAAAUGGUUCAUAGCCUUCCCCAGGGCUCUUCAAAAGGGCC